rnacentral:rRNA from 1 species
CCUACGGGAUGCAGCAGUGGGGAAUAUUGCACAAUGGGGGAAACCCUGAUGCAGCAACGCCGCGUGAGUGAUGACGGCCUUCGGGUUGUAAAGCUCUGUCUUCAGGGACGAUAAUGACGGUACCUGAGGAGGAAGCCACGGCUAACUACGUGCCAGCAGCCGCGGUAAUACGUAGGUGGCGAGCGUUGUCCGGAUUUACUGGGCGUAAAGGGAGCGUAGGCGGAUUUUUAAGUGAGAUGUGAAAUACUCGGGCUUAACCUGAGUGCUGCAUUUCAAACUGGAAGUCUAGAGUGCAGGAGAGGAGAAGGGAAUUCCUAGUGUAGCGGUGAAAUGCGUAGAGAUUAGGAAGAACACCAGUGGCGAAGGCGCUUCUCUGGACUGUAACUGACGCUGAGGCUCGAAAGCGUGGGGAGCAAACAGGAUUAGAUACCCUCGUAGUC